rnacentral:rRNA from 1 species
UCCGGGGGGUGCGAGCGUUGUCCGGAAUCACUGGGCGUAAAGGGCGCGUAGGUGGUUUGAUAAGGGUGUGGUGAAAGCCCGGGGCUCAACCCCGGGUCUGCCGUGCCGACUGUCAAACUCGAGGGCUGUAGAGGCAGACGGAAUUCCGGGUGUAGCGGUGGAAUGCGUAGAGAUCCGGAGGAAGACCGGUGGCGAAGGCGGUCUGCUGGGCAGUUUCUGACACUGAUGCGCGACAGCGUGGGGAGCAAACAGG